rnacentral:rRNA from 1 species
GAUGAACGCUAGCGGGAGGCCUAACACAUGCAAGCCGAGCGGUAUUGUUUCUUCGGAAAUGAGAGAGCGGCGUACGGGUGCGGAACACGUGUGCAACCUGCCUUUAUCUGGGGGAUAGCCUUUCGAAAGGAAGAUUAAUACUCCAUAAUAUAUUGAUUGGCAUCAAUUGAUAUUGAAAGCUCCGGCGGAUAGAGAUGGGCACGCGCAAGAUUAGCUAGUUGGUGAGGUAACGGCUCACCAAGGCAAUGAUCUUUAGGGGCCUGAGAGGGUGAUCCCCCANACUGGUACUGAGACACGGACCAGACUCCUACGGGAGGCAGCAGUGAGGAAUAUUGGUCAAUGGGUGCAAGCCUGAACCAGCCAUCCCGCGUGAAGGACGACUGCCCUAUGGGUUGUAAACUUCUUUUGUAUAGGGAUAAACCUACCCUCGUGAGGGUAGCUGAAGGUACUAUACGAAUAAGCACCGGCUAACUCCGUGCCAGCAGCC